rnacentral:tmRNA from 1 species
GGGGGCGCACUGGUUUCGACUGGUGGUUUGAAGGAUAGGCUGCAUGCCGAGGUUGAUCGGUUGGCCUCGUAAAAAGCCGAUCAAAAAACAAAAGCAAAUAACGAACCUGAACUUGCAUUGGCUGCCUAAUUGAGCGGCCCGUGGCUCACCCGACGCCUGCUGAGGUGAUGCCACGACUACUUUUGCAGGCUGGCGUCGCGGCGGGUGUCCGGCCGUUGACGCGAGAGGUUACAGUGGCAAUCGGAGAAGACGGAUUCUGCCAAUCGAAGCCCCAGCUCCUAAAUCAAAAGACUGGAUAAGCAUGUAGAGGCUUGUUUGGACGGCCAUUAGGACAGGGGUUCGACUCCCCUCGCCUCCACUU